UGAAGGCGAUCGAGCAGCUGCAGCGGCUAUCGGACAAUGAUGUCCUUGGACAACUCUUUUCUAUUCACCUACCAACCCUCGUUGGAUUGGGAUCCACACACCUUCCAACUUGGAGACCUCCAUCAACAACAACACUUGAUGCCUUUGGCUACGGAGUCUCCGGUAUCAUCGCAGGCCUCGACCGGUUACUUGCAAGACGCAGUGGCGGAGUGGGGCGACCAGUGCAAGCGGAGACGCGUGACUUCGUCCCCAGCGGAUGACUCGACGACGACAAAAGAGCUCCAAGAUCUUCUCCAUGAGUUUUGGAGUUCCAACUGUAAUGGAGAUCCCUUGCAUGAUUUGAACUACUGCAUGCUACAAGAUGAUGUUGUCAUCCCAGAUGAGACACCGAACGUGAUUCUGAAGACCAAAGAACAAGUAUCAGCAUUACAACUCCCACAAGACCCACUCUCCUCUUCCUCCUCCCAUCAAGAGUCACAUGGAAA